AUGGACGACGCCUUCAAGUUCAUCAUCAAGAACGGCGGCCUCACCACUGAGGCCAACUACCCAUACACCGCACAAGACGGACAGUGCAAAACUAGCACUACAAGCAACAGUGUUGCAACCAUCAAGGGCUACGAGGAUGUGCCUGCCAACGAUGAAUCUUCUCUUAUGAAAGCCGUGGCCAACCAGCCUGUAUCAGUAGCUGUGGACGGAGGAGAUGCCAUAUUUCAACACUACUCUGGCGGGGUGAUGACCGGCUCCUGUGGAACNNNNNNNNNNGGGAUCCAAUCUUGCCCAAACAUGUCUCCACACCAUGAGAUCUAA
rnacentral:rRNA from 1 species